UUAUUUUCAGUGGAUGUUAACUGAUCAUAUUAUGAAUGGAUUGAACAGAUUCAAGUCAUUAUUUAGUGUUCUUGGAUUUUUCUUUUCUUGUUUUUUAAGCUGCUCUCAGUGAUUCAGAUCCAGCUCUAGUUCAUGAUAUAUGAGUGAAAGACGAUCUUGAGAGAGGAAGUGUGCAGUUAGAGCUGUUUGUGAAAGAGAAAUGAACUCUGUUGUGUUUGGUGCUGAUUUCAAACAUCCACUCUGGACACACUGAAGAUAAAGUCCAGUUAAGUGUUUCUCCUCAGAAGUGGUUGACUGAAGGAGAUCCAGUGACUCUGAUCUGUGAGGUUAACGGCUCCUCUACAGGCUGGACAU